AAUAAGUACAGUUUUUCAUUGUUCAUGUUCAACGUUUGACUGUCUGUUUUAUUUAAAAAAUUAUGAUUAGUAUUUUUGUUGUUAUUAGAUGAUAAAAUAUAAAUAGUAAUUUUUUUAAUAUUUUUUUAUAAAAUUUUCAAAUAAGAUGGAUGGUCAAACGUUGGACAUGAAAACUCACG
rnacentral:pre_miRNA from 1 species